UCACUACAUGUGAAUAUAAGUUUGUAACGAUUAUGUGAAACUUCCUUACACUCUAGCAACGGAUUUAUGCAUGCCAAUUAAGUGUCGACCCUUAAUUAACAAAUAAAAAUAAGUUAUCAAUCAAAUAGUUAAGCCAAUUGCAUUCACGAUUCAAGAGUUCAUAACUGGAAUUUAUCAAAUCAUAUUACACACAUAAUCAUGGCUUUGAAAUCACCCAUAGCUAAGAGGGGUUUAGCCACUCAUAUUCACAACAAAACGAAAGAAAAUGAAUUUAAACAUUGGAAACAAAAGAAAGAAAACACCUAAACGCUCCAACGAUCCAAGUUGGACAGCAAGCACGUCCAAGCACUUUCCUUCCAUUCCUUUGCUACGACAUAAGGUGUUGGUGAGUGUUUGAAGGUUUGUUUGUAUGGAGGAAUGGAUGUGAAGAUGAAAUGGAUGUGUUUGGAUGAAGGUUGUAUUGAAAUGGGGAUGAAUGAUCAAGCAAAAACUAAACUAUAUGGCUACCACACACACUUCCUUUUAUAGAGGAAGUGCACGGCAAGGAGGGGAAAAAUGAUGGUGUGUGCAAUGAUUCAAGGGUGAAAAUGAAGUAAUGAUGCAAAGCAUGGGGGGUAAAAUGGAGUGGUGUUGCAGCAAUGAGUGCAUGGAGUGGUGUUUGAAAUGAUUCAAAGGUGAAAGUGAAGUGAUGAUACAAAGCAUGGGGGGUAAAAUGGAGUGGUGUUGCAGCUAUGAAUGCAAGUAGGGAACAUGAAUGAUUGUGCACAUGGUAGAGAAAGGAAAGGGAGGUGGAAUGGUGCAAAAAUGAGUCAAAGGUGCAGUAAGACUAAUGAUGCACAGCAUGAGAUUCCAAAGGUGGUGGAUGGUGCAUCAAUGAGUGCAUGUAGUGGAGGUAAAAGUUGUUUGAAAUCUGAUGGGUGAAGGGGACAAGAAUUGUACAACAAUUGAGUGCAAUGAUUCAAUGUUUUGAUGCAAGAAAUCAGAAAUAAUGAAGGAGACAAGGGUAGUGCACGGCAUGGGUGGAUAAUGAGUGUAAUGGUGUAUGAAAUGAGUGCAAGAAAUCUGGUGCAUGAAGGGGACAAGGGUGAUUAUGCAUGGCAUGGGUGGAAAGGUGAGUAAGUGGUGAAUCAAUGAGUGCAAGGAGGUGAAAGGAUAUUGUGCACAUGGUAGACAAAGGAAAGGAAGUGGAAUGGUGCAGCAAAUGAGUGCAAAUAGGGAACAUGGAUGAAUGUGCACAACAUGGAGUGAUUAAUGGCAGAAAAUAGGAAAGGAAUGGCUCCUUUGCACGGCAAGGAAGAGAAAUGGUGAAGGAUGGUAUGGCUUGGACUUUUAGGGCAGGUUUAGGACUUGUAGAAUAUGUAAUGAAAUGUCCCAAAGUAUUUAGGAACCCUUCGUGUGACUAAAUCUUUGGUAAUUUAGGAUUAGGAAAGGUAACGACAAGAUAAGGCAAGUUUGACUAGUCUUUCCUCAUUCUUAAUGGUUUCCUUGUCUUCCUUGGUCCUCAAUUUAUUUUCUUCCUUUCCUUGGCACAUUCCUAGCUUCUUUAGAUCCUUAAUUUCGUCCAACCACUUUGCUCCAUGCAUGUGAUAUCCAUUCCAUGCCCAAAACUGCUCCAAAAGGCACCAAAAUGCACUUCUUUGCCUCUUUAACCCUUUGUACCUACAACCACACGAAAAUGACUUGAAAUACUAAAUCAACUAAGAAAUAACAACAUAAAUGCACAAGAACAAGCUAACUAAGUCGCAUAAAUAUGCUCCUAUCAAAUUCCCCCACACUUAGCUUUUGCUAGUCCUCGAGCAAAACAAAAGAAACAAAAUGAAACAAAACAAACAAAACAAACAAAACACAACCUAGACCUUCCAACAUUUGCCUCAGGGAUUUGAAUGAAACAUGACAUGUUAAAAAUCAUCAUUCCCAUAGAUUUUGGUCAUCUUUACACUUGAGCACAUACUUAAUCACAAUCACCACUUACUAGUUCACAAUUAACCAAUUAAAACGAUGUUUUGAAUGUAGUAACAUGCCUUAGAGAAUUUGCUCAAUUUCUUACAAGAUACUCUCUAUUUUCACACACAUUUUUUGACUACACACCCUAGACUAGUAUAUGUGAGAAGAUUAAUGUAAACACGAAAGACUAGGAUUCACAUAUGUCAUAACAAAGAAAGCAAUUUUCUGGAGUUAUUAAGCAUGUUUAGAUAUGAUCUCAUGAAUUGAAUGCUACUACUUAGAUGUGAGAACCAGUGACACCAUAUGCUCGUACCAAUUUCGAACUCCACAAAUUGAAACACACAACACUUAAGAUUGAAGUCAAGGGUUGUAACAGGGCUUGGGGGUAAUGACUAAUAAAGAAAGGAUAGGGAUAACAAACGUUCUUAAAGCGAUAGCAAGCAAAGCAAUGAAAUAGACACUUGGAAUUCACUUUAGAAUGCAUAAUCAACUUUUAAAUACAAAGGGAAGAUUCAUGCAACACUUAGGGCCGAAUUCAAUGAUUUGGACCCUUUUUUAACAAACAACACUUUAGAGCUCUUUUUCAUACUCUUUUCAAUUCUUUUUUCUUUUCUACUCUUUUUUUUCUUUUCUACCCGUGCUUUAUUAAGGGCUUUGGCACACACAUAUACACAAGAAUCACUUCCCCCACACUUGCUUUCUGCAAUACAUUGAUAAAAAAACAGUUCAUUUUAAGUCAUGCUUUACUAUGCUUCAAGAACAAGGGUAUGGAUGGUCCUAAAACUAGGCUAGGUAAGGAUAGUGUGGAUUAACAAAGAACAUAGGCUUAACAAGGCUCAACGGGGUUAAACUUAAACACAUAAUGAAAUAGGGGCACGUUAAUUUGGCUUUGGUGGUCACUACACAACUUCAUCUUGAAUAUGUGUUAUGCAAAUCAAUAGCAUGCUUUGGAACUAAAUGAAACGCCUUCUAAGUAGCAACCAAAUGAUGAAACGCCUUCUAAGUAGCAACCAAGAAAAGAAUAAUGAGAUCAUGCAACGACUUUAGAAAACAAUGAUGCACAUAUUAUUAGCUUUCCAAAUAAACGUUUAGGCUCAAGUCUCAUAAGGUUGUAGCGUUCAUUUGAGUUCCUUCUUUCAAGCAUGUUACAAAAAUUGAUUUUUCGUUUAUGAUUGCAUGUGAAUUCAUAAAUCACAACCAAGCAUACACCAAAGAGUAAAUCAAAUUUUCAUCCAUGUUUAUAACUCUUUUUAACAGUCAUGUAAUUAAAAACCAAAUCCUCAUCAUUGUGUUGGAAGGUAUCCUAAGACACAAAUAAACACACAAAAACAACUCUUUUUGGGUUUUUCAAAACAAUUUUUCAAAUUUUUAUGAGAUUUUUGGAUUUUUAUGUCAAAACACACUAAAACAAUCCAAAACAGCUUAAAAACACUUAAAACAGCAAGGAACAACACUAGAAGUAAUGGGUGAUAAACUCCUACGAAUUUUAUGCAAAACAACUUGGUUACCCCCCACACUUAAAACAUUGUCCUCAAUGUUUCAAGCAUAAACUCACACAAAAACAAGCAAACAAACAAACAACGAAUAAACAUGACAAGUAUGGAAAAGUAAAAACCAGACAUAGUAGAGUUUAAGAACGCAAAUCUGGUUUUGGAGAUAGAUGAUCUUGUUGACUUUCCACAGCUUUGAUCUUGAACUGGUUUGGAAUUCUGAGCAAGGAAUACGAGAGUUCCUUGGUUUCAAAUCAGACUCUUUAUGCUGGGUUGAUUUGAUUGUGCAGUCUGCAUUCUUCUCUGCUUGUUUCUUCUGCACGGCAGGCAGGCAAGAGGUAGAGGUGAUGGUCUGUUUCCUUUUUCAAUCUUUCCAAGUGCCAACCAUUUGCUUUCUUUCUCCUUGUCCCUAGUUGAGGAUGAAUUAGCACAUUGUCUCCACAUGCUUCGAGGUAUCAUUUUUACUUCCCUUAUCUGUUCUCCAGGCAGAUAUGGUAGCUUUUGAGGAAGCAUAAGAUGUUGAAAAUGAGUACCCGAGAGCAAGGCUAGGUAAGCAAUCAGGAAGGGGUUCCAGGCAGUCGGUUCCAGAUCGGAAUAUUGAUACCAAGUGCUGGCUGAUUGCUUUCUUUCUUCUUGUCCCGCAAGUGAAAACAACGAUAAGGAGAAGGACAGGGAGAAAGCAUGAUAUGAGAUACUUUUGCUUUCAACCUUCAUGAUAUGAAAUACUUUUGCUUUUGAUGAGUUGUUUGCAGAGGUACCCCAAGGAAUAAGGAACACUGAGUGACUCGAGAAGCUUUGUUGGGAAGGCAUUCUCGGAGAUGAAGAUAUGUCUGCCUUGCUAUGGAGGGUGAAGGUCGACAUUUAUAUGAAUUAAUAACCGGUACUAUUCUUUCACUCUUGUCGGCAACCGUUGGAUGAUUGAACAGUAAACUUCACGUGCUUUCUACGUCACCAGAAAUCUUCGACAGAUUGCCCGUAAUUUCCGCAAGGCUGAGUGUGCAUGUGACAGAUGCUGACACGUCUGGAAAAGCAGGUGCCUCUUCGAUAUCUGAAAUCGGCGCUUCGACAAAUUGCCCAUGAUUUUUGCAAAGCUGAGUGUGCAUGUGACAGAUGCUGACACGUUUGGAAAAGCAAAUGCCUAUCCGAUUUCUGAGCUUGCCUAUUUGAUUUCUGAGCUCCGUCGAGUGCAGAGGUUGUAUGUGACAAGUGUGGACAAAUCCAGAAAAGAGGAUGGCCCGUGGUUUCUGAGCAAGCCCAACUUUUGAGAAAGCUAACGCCUCUUCGAUUUUUGAAUUGGCCUCUUCGAUUUCUGAGCUCACCUCUUCGAUCUCUGAAAUCCCGUCGAAUGCUGAUUUUUAUAGAAGCACGCAGUUCGUUUCAAAGCACACUUGAAUUUCCGCCUGUAGAAACUCCCUUCAUUGCGCUUCUAAGAUCUCGAUUUGUCUGACCUCUUCUUUCUUCAACACCUUUGAAAAUGUCUGACCCCAUCGAUGAUCGUUUUGACUUGAACCUUUGUGAAGAGGCAUCCAUGCCUUCUCCAGACAACAUAUGGCGCCCAUCCUUCAUAUCCUCUACUAGUCCUCUUACCGUUGGGGAUUCAGUGAUGAAGAAUGAUAUGACCGCUGCGGUGGUGGCCCGGAACCUUGUCACUCCCAAAGAUAACAGAUUACUUUCCAAACGGUCUGAUGAGUUGGCUGUUAAGGAUUCUCUGGCUUUCAGUGUGCAGUGUGCAGGUUCUGUGUCUAAUAUGGCCCAACGUCUAUUUGCUCGAACCCGUCAAGUUGAAUCAUUGGCGGCUGAAGUGAUAAGUCUCAAACAGGAGAUUAGAGGGCUCAAGCAUAAGAAUAAACAGUUGCAAGGCUUGCACAUAACUAUGCUACAAACAUGAAGAGGAAGAUUGACCAGAUGCAGGAAUCUGAUGGUCAGAUUUUACUUGAUCAUCAGAGGUUUGUGGGUUGUUCCAACAGCAUUUGCCUUCGUCUUCUGGGGCUGUACCGCGUAAUGAAGCUCCAAAUGAUCAACCUCCGAUACCUCCUCCUUCUGUGGCUCCGCCGACUGCUGAGGCUCCACCGACUACUAAGACUUCUCCUAAGCAACCUUUGUGAAGGCUCCCUCUUGUAUUUUUUUGCCUCCUGUUCAUUUUCAACGAAUUUUAAUGUAAAAAUACCUUGCAUAUCUGUCAAUGUUUCAAAAAUAAACCCACACCAAAAACAAUUAAAUAAGGAACAAAUAAAAAUGACAAUCAUGGCAAAAUAAAACUGCAGAAAAGGGAAGGUUUUUAGGAAUGCAAAACAUGGGUUGCCUCAAGCGCUUGCUUUAACGUCUUGCAGCUGGACGAAACUUCCUUUUAAGCUUGGAUAGGGCCCACGGCACUGAGUGGGAUUUCUUCCACAAUCUGCCCCACAUCACUCUCAUAGUAUAGCUUCAGACGAUGCCCGUUCACUUUGAAUUCGUCGCCGUUCCUUAAGCUUUUAACUUGGACUGCACCAUGGGGAAAAACAUUAGUGACAACAAAUGGCCCAAUCCACUUAGACCGUAACUUACCAGCGAGCAAUCGUAGACGGGAAUUGAAUAGUAGCACUUUCUGUCCAAUUGAGAAUGUUUUUCCCCGAAUCAUUUUGUCAUGAAACGCCUUUGUUUUCUCCUUGUAAAUUCGCGCAUUCGCAUAGGCUUCAUUCCGUAUCUCCUCAAGUUCAUUCAGUUGGAGCUUCCUAUUCAUUCCAGCAGCAUAUAAGUCCAAAUUGAAUGUUUUCACAGCCCAGUGCGCUUUGUGCUCCAGUUCCACAGGUAGGUGACACGGCUUGCCGUAGAUUAGUCGAAAUGGAGACAUCCCUAGAGGUGUUUUGUAGGCAGUGCGAUAUGCCCACAGUGCAUCAUCUAAACGCAAGCUCCAAUCCUUUUGGUUUGGCCCAACAGUCUUCUCCAAGAUUUGCUUGAUUUCUCUAUUCGAGACUUCGGCUUGGCCACUUGUUUGAGGGUAGUAUGGCGUGGAAACCCGAUGCUUCACAUUGUACUUUUUAAACAGCGCCUCAAUGGUGCGAUUGCAAAAAUGGGAGCCUCCAUCGCUUAUGAACACCCUUGGCAUGCUAAAUCUGGAAAAGAUGUUAGCCUUGAUAAAAUCUGCCACCACUCUAGAAUCGUUUGUACGGGUGCUUUUGGCUUCCACCCAUUUUGACACAUAAUCAACGGCUAGCAAAAUAUAAGUAAAACCAUAUGAGGGCAGAAAGGGUCCCAUGAAAUCCAUACCCCAUACAUCAAAGAUCUCCACAUUAAAGAUAGGGGUUUGCGGCAUUUGGUCCUUGGCACCUAUUGUACAUGUUCUUUGGCAUCUAUCACAAGUUAUAGGAAAUGUUCUAGCAUCCUUAAACAAUGUAGGCCAAUAGAAACCACUCUCUAAAACCUUAAGGGCUGCCCUUUGGGUGCCAAAAUGACCCCCACAUGCAUAACUGUGGCAGAAUGCAAGAAUUGAAUUAAACUCGGAAUUGUGCACACAUCUACGAAUAAUCUGGUCAGGACAAUACUUCCACAAAUAUGGAUCAUCCCACAUAUAAAAUCGUGCAUCAUUUCUGAGUUUAUCAUGCUUGUAUUUAUCUAGAGUGCUAGGAACUUGUUUUGUGACAAAAUAAUUGACCAAAUCAGCAUACCAGGGCUUACUUACCUCUAGGGAUAGCAAUUGCUCGUCAAGGAAGGUCUCUAGAAUGGGUAAGGAGUCAUCCUCGUGCACCAAACGGCUGAGGUGGUCAGCCACCACGUUUUCACUCCCCUUUUUGUCUCUUAUUUCAAUAUUGAACUCUUGAAGUAGGAGCAUCCAAAGAAUCAGCCUUGGUUUGGCCUUUUUCUUGGUGAAAAGAUACUUCAACACUGCAUGGUCAAAAUAUACAAUCACUUUAGUGCCAAGUAAGUAUGAACGAAAUUUAUCUAAAGCAAAUACAACUGCAAGAAGUUCUUUCUCAGUGGUAGAAUAAUUCAAUUGAGCAUCAUUUAGGGUCCAGGAAGCGUAAUGGAUGACGUGGGGCUGUUUGUUCCUCCUUUGGCCUAAAACAGCACCAAUGGCAUAAUCGGAUGCAUCACACAUUAGCUCAAAUGGAAGUCUCCAAUCUGGUGGCAUGAUGAUGGGGGUCGAAGUCAACAUGUCCUUGAGGGUUUUGAAAGUGGUCUCACACUCCUUGUUGAACUCGAAGGCUACUUCCUUUUGGAGUAAACGACAAAAGGGUUGGGCGAUUUUUGAGAAAUCCUUGAUGAAUCUCCUAUAAAAUCCUGCAUGGCCAAGAAAAGAACGAACCUCCUUCACCGAAGUGGGAGAGGGUAAGUGACGUACAAGAUCUAUUUUAGAUUUAUCAACCUCAAUCCCUUUUUCUGAUAUGAUAUGCCCCCAAAACUAUACUUUGUUUUACCAUAAAAUGGCACUUUUCCCAAUUCAAGACAAGAUUAGUUUCGAUGCAUCGUUGUAAGAUUAGAGUAAGAUUAUUCAAGCAUGCAUCAAAUGAGUCACCAAAAACACUAAAGUCAUCCAUAAACACUUCAAUGAUCUUUUCCACAAAUUCUAAGAAAAUACUUACGAUACACAUUUGGAAUGUGGCCGGUGCGUUGCAUAGCCCAAAUGGCAUGCGUCGAUAAGCAAAGGUACCAAAGGGACAUGUGAGGGUAGUCUUUUCUUGGUCAUCGGGAGCUAUCACAAUCUGAUUAUAACCCGAAUAGCCAUCAAGAAAAUAAUAAAAUGAAUGACUGGAUAACCUUUCCAGCAUUUGAUCAAUAAAGGGCAGCGGGAAGUGAUCUUUUCUUGUCGUAGCGUUGAGCUUCCGAUAGUCAAUACAAACUCUCCAUCCAGUUUGGAUUCGGGUGGGCACAAGCUCAUUAUCUUCAUUUUUUACCACAGUGACUCCGGACUUUUUAGGAACAGCUUGAAUCGGCGAGGCUUAAUGGCUAUCAGAAAUUAGGUAACUCACUCCACAAUCUAAUAGCUUGAUGAUUUCCUUCUUCACAACAUCCAUUAUGGGUGGAUUGAGUUGGCGUUGUGCUUCUCUAGAUGGUUUGGCUCAUUCUUCCAAGAGUAUUCGAUGGAUGCAAGUGGUAGGGCUAAUUCCUUUGAUAUCAGCUAAUGUCGACCCAAUGGUAGUUUUGUAUUCCCGAAGCACCCUCACCAACUUGUCCUCCUCUUGUGCAGUGAGUGAAGAAGAGAUGAUGAUGGGCAGCGUCUCUUGUUCUCCCAUAAACACAUAUUUCAAAUGGCUAGGCAAUGGUUUAAGCUCUAGGGAAGGGGGCUGGAUUACAGAAUGAAGCAACUUGUUAGUCGAAAUGGGAAUUGAAAUUAGGUUAGGAGACUUACCAAUAUGUCUUGGAUUUGACUCUAGGGCAGUAACCAUCUCCACCAAUUCUUCUUGAAUAGGCACGGCAAGAUGUUCCUUGUUGUUGUCGUGUGCAUGCCUAAGUGCUAACCCUUCGUUUUUGAGUCCAAUGCUUUGCGUGAGAGUCUUUUCAAGUGCAUCCUCACUCAAAUCAUCAAGGAAUUCCUGCGCCUAAGAGUCAAUCACAUCAAUAGAGAAACAAGAGUGACCAUCAUGUGGAUAUCUCAUAGCAUCAGAAAUAUUGAAAUCAAUAACUUCCCCAUCAAAUUCCAUGGUCAAUGUUCCCUUCAAUACAUCUAUCUUUGUACGGGCAGUCUUCAUGAAUGGUCGGCCAAGUAAUAUUGGCAAUUGAGGGGAAUGGUUCGAGUCUUCCAUUUCAAGCACGAAGAAGUCCGCCGGAAAGACUAGGUGAUUCACCUGCACUAAAACAUCCUCCAAAACACCUUUUGGAUACGCAUUAGAUCUAUCGGCCAGUUGAAUGAUCACUACAUCAUUUUUUAAUUCUCCCAAGUUCAUAGAUGCAUAUAUUGAAUAAGGCAUGACAUUUAUUGAUGCACCUAGAUCUAACAUGGCAUAUUCAAAGCGAGUAUUUCCUAUAACACAAGGAAUUGUAAAAUUGCCGGGAUCUUUGCAUUUAGGAGGUAAUUUUCGUUGCAACACAGUUGAGACAUUAUCACUUACCCUUACCACCUCUUUGUUCGAAGCCCUCUUCCUUGUAGUGCACAGCUCCUUCAGGAACUUAGCAUACUUGGGGACUUGUUUAAUUGCAUCUAGAAGUGGAAUGUUGACUUGGACCUUUCUAAAUGUGUCCAGGAUGUCUUUGUCACUCUCAUACUUCUUUGAUUGCAUAAACCUGCGAGGAAGGGGGCAUUGGGUGGAAUGGAAUUAAAAGUCAUGGAAUUUGAACCCAACUUACCUUUGGUGGUCGAAUUAGGGUGUGAAGGUGGCUGCGGCAAUGAUUACUCAAUCCUUGCCGAGGGCUGGCCUUGUUCUUUCUCCUCAGAUUGCAUCUUUUCGUCCUCAUUUUGAUUGGAUUUAGAUGGGCUGGGAUCAGAUCCAACUUCUUUUCCACUUUGCAAGGUGAUGGCUUUGGCAGAUUCGAAGCCUCCCUUUGGAUUCACAUCCGUCAAACUAGGUAACUUACCUUAUUGUCUACUAAAUUGCCCCAUGAACUCAGCCAUUUGUCCCAUUUGUCUCUUCAAUUCAGUUACCUCUUGAGCUUGAUUUUGCACUUCCUUGGUGUAAUUGUGCAUUAUCUUUGGCUUGAUUUUCCUGACCUUUUGCCAACGUAGUUAGUAACUGAAUAACUUGAGCAUUAUCAAAAGACGAACAUGAGUUAUUUUGGGUAGGUUGUGUUUGGGGUUGUGCGGGUGCAUACGACCUUUGAUAGAAGCCCGGAGGUUGCUGGCUGAAUGCACUUUGUUGUUGGGUUUGUUGGGGCUCCCUCCAUUUGAAAUUUGGAUGAUAUUUCCAGCCUAGAUUGUGUGUAUUCGAGAACGGAUCAUUCAUUGGUUGGUUUUGACUCCCAAAAUCCAUGGCGUUGGCAGAUUCCCACCCUUUGUUCUCGAUCAAUUGAGGGCACUUAUCCGUUAGAUGUCCAUUCAUUGAGCACACGCCACAAGCAGCUACACUUUGUUCUUUUGGUUUUUCAACCACUUGUGAAAGAAGAGUAGUAAGAUUAGCCAUUUGAUUUUGAAGUUCGGAAAUAGCACUUACCUCAUUAACUUGUUGUUGCCGUGGGUUGUCUCUCUGACCAACGCCUUUAUAUUGUUGAGCAUUUAAUGCUCAGUUAGCAAUUAAGGUAUUCGCAACCAUGGGUGUUUUGUCCACCAAAGCUCCUCCCACUGAGGCAUCUAGCAUUUGUCGUUCAAUUGGUAGAAGCCCUUCGUAAAAAUAUUGAAAAAGAAACUCCUCCUUCAUCUGGUGCUGUGGACAUAAAGCAGCAAGGGUUUUAAAGUGCUCAUAGUAAGUGGGAAAGGAUUCACCUUGGUUUUGCUGAAUGCCACUAAUCCUUUUACGUAGUAGAAUUGUUGGAAAUAUGCCCUGAAAGUCAAUCUUUGGAAGAAACCUUUCAGGACAAUAAAUGGAUGUAUAGAUGACUCUUAUACAUCAAAUGGCAAAGAUACUAUUUAGGACUAUCUCUAUAAACGAUAUAUGUCCUAAAUGGUGAAUCCAUGGACAAUGGAGCGAUUGGAGAAGUAAUCUAAUGAAGUUAGACUACAGAGACCUUCUUCACAUAACCAUCAUGUCCAAAAGGUUCCUGGUCAUAGGAUUGUCGGAGGGAUACUGACAAUGCAUAGACCGGUACAUACUAUGUCCGCUUCAAUUAGAAGGAUGGAAAGUCUCACCCCAUUCGUGUAGUGACACUAAGACAAGUAUGUAGGUGCUCAUUAAGGGAAUGAGUUCACUGAACUCAAUCGAACGAGAGUACUUGCAUGGAGGUUUACACACAUGUCAAGCAAGUAACUCCAAUAGUUGGAAUAAUGUAAGUAGUCCUUUGACCUGAGGCAUCAUCGUUGUCUUGUGGUUAAGUACUUGAUCUUUGAUUAUGUCAAAGUCACUUCAUUCGCGGGUGUCCACGGCAUAGUCAGGGUUAAGCCACUUAGUCAUGAAGGCAAGUGAAUGUGCAACAAGGAAUCUCUAAUCCUCGUUAAGAGAGGAUGAAUACUCUAAGAUAUGAUUCUGGAAUCUUCGGCCGAAGUAUCGAGCGUAAUAAAGGAAAGCGUUCCUAUACGACUCAAUUGAAUCAUAUAAGAAGGAAUAAUCACAUUAGGGGUUUGACAUAAUAUAUCCAUACCCUAGUGAUGUGAUUGAGAGUAUUGUUUUAGAGAAGGAUCGAAUUACAUUGUAAUUCCAACUGAAUAGGUUCUCCGAACAACUUCUACAUUAGCUUGGGUAGCCAUGAUAUAUGGUUAGAUGUCACUCAUGGCUUGUGAGUUCUUCUAGAUGAUUAAAUGUAGUCAUCAAAGAAGAAGGUGAAUUAAAAGUAAGUUUUUAAUUCACUAAGUGAUUGGAUUAAAUAUAAUCAAUUGGAUUGGAGCCAAUCACCUCACUGCCUUGCUAAUUAGAACCUAAAACGAUUGUUCACCAAUACACUCUUGUAGUGAGUAACUAAUGGAUGAUGGAAAUAAUUAAUUGGAUUAAUUAAGUGUUGUGAUUAAUUAGAAAGUCUAAAGAAAUCAUAAAAGCGAUAUAAGAUCGUUUUGGGCUUAAAGAAACAUUCGGGUUUAAUUGGGCCCAUUGGGCCUAAACCCAUUGGCCUUUUAUUCAAGCAUUGGAUGACUUGAAAUAAAUAAAAGCCCAAAGCCCAAACAACACAAAGGGGCUGCCAAAGGAGGGAGAGAAAGGUCAAAUGUUGAUUUGUUUCUUUUUGGCUAUAAAAGGAACUUUAUAGCAAAUGUUUCAUUAGGGUUUUUUGAAGUGUUAAAAGAACAAAAGAGAAAAAGAAAAAUAUCUCUCUAACACUCAAAGGGCCGGCCACCAUAGGGGGAUUUAGCUAAUCAUCUUUUCACCCCUUUGGUUAUUCAUUCAUCCUUCUCAGUACACUAGUGGGUGAGGAUCUUUAGAGGUUUUCAAUUUUGGAAACUUGAAGAGAACCUAGGAGCACUCAUUCUAAACAAAGUGGAAGAGGCAAGGAAGGAGGCUAGGCUUAAGGAGUUCAAGGAGCAAAGGGCUUGGAGGUGGUCCAUCCUUGGUCUAAGAUCUAGAUCAAGAGGUAUAAAACUACUCCUAAACUUUGUUCUUAUAUAAAUUUGUUUUUGAUGCAUCUUACACAAACCUAUGCAUCUUGAAGGGGGUUUACAUGACUAUUGCAUUGAUAUUAUUUGAUAACAUGCUUCCGUUGCUUUCGUAUAUAAAUUUUGAAUUGUAUAUGCAUGCUAGUCACUAGAAAUCCCACAUGAAUCUCAUAGUAUUCCCUUCAAGAAUGACUCGAGAAGUUGGGAAAAACUUCUCCAAAAAUGCCCGUUUCAUACUCUCCCAUGAUAUGACAGUUUCGGGGGCUAGCUUAUACAACCAAUCUUUAGCCUUUUCCAAGAGAGAAAAGGGAAAAGCCUUCAUUUUCAUAAUGCUCUCAUCAACAUUCACAGGGGUCAUGCUCGAACAAACAACCUCGAACUCCUUCAAAUGUUUAUUAGGAUCUUCCAUGGACAACCCAUGGAACUUAGGAAUAUGGUGCAAUAAGCUGGACUUUAAUUCAAACUCGUCGGUCUUGUUUUGGGCCGCCCUUCGAUAUUGAAUGCAUAAAGGCAGAGCAUUGUCCAAUCCUGAAGCGGAAAGCUCCUUGAUUGUUCGAUUGUCUACUGCCAUUUCUUGGACUUCUUUAAAAGACCUUGUCGUGGCCUCCUCUUGCUCUUCUACUUUGUCUUCUUCAAGAUCGGGUGCAGGUUGAGAUGGUUGGGUUUCUUGUUGAUUCCUUGCUCAUCUCAAAGUUCAUUCAAAAUCGUCGUCAAAGUCAAGGAUGUGCUUAUGAAUAGGUUGAGAACUUCGAGUCAUAAACCACCUAAAACAAGAAAACAAGUAAAAUCAGCAACUACGAACAAAAACACGUGAAAAUAAAAAAAAAAGAAAUAACAAAGGAUUAGCAAAGUUGCUAAUCCCCGAAAACGGCGCCAAAAAUUUGAUGCGAAAAUUAACUUAACACACAAAUUUGACCCUCUUUUGACAAUUGUAGUAUAAGUAUAAGUAGGGAUCGUUCUAGACCAGGGAUUAGGAGGGCUUGCUAAUAAUCUCUAAACUGACUCAAACACAUAAAACUAAACUUAAAAACAUUUAACAAGAUUCACAAGACUCAAAACAAACUUAAAAUAAUCAAAACAGCUCAAAACAACCAAAUAAACUUAAAAACACAAACUAAAAACACUUAAAAACACAAACUAGAACAGAUUUGAAACACUUUGAAACAAGAAACUAAAAGGGGGUUUUGAUUUGGAUGAAGUUGUAACAAACAAACAAGUAUGAAAAUCUAGACAAAUUGUAAAACGAAUGUGAGAAAUAAGAUCAUGGAUGGGAUAGCUAGAAGCUUUUUAUCCACACAUGACAUGUAUGCAAAUAAUUCGAUUUCCAGUUACUAAUUCAUUUAAUUAUGAACGACAAUGCUCCAAAUUAACUGUGACAUCACUAGUUAACUCUCAGAUUUUCCUUAUUUUAUUGGAUUGGAUGACAUCAUUCGACAUCCCAAAACAUUCUUCAAAAGUUCCCUACAUGACAUCAUAAUAGAGAUACAAUCAAAGAUCAUUACGUUUAAUGAAAAUCAUAAGCAUUGACAAAGAACUUGCAACUAUGACAUCAUGUCACUCAUGCUAGGAAUUGAACUCAACGCGAUCGUUUAUAAGCGACCUUCACUACAUGUGAAUAUAAGUUUGUAACGAUUAUGUGAAACUUCCUUAUACUCUAGCAAAGGAUUUAUGCAUGCCAAUUAAGUGUCGACCCUUAAUUAACAAAUACAAAUAAGUUAUCAAUCAAAUAGUUAAGCCAAUUGCAUUCACGAUUCAAGAGUUCAUAACUGGAAUUUAUCAAAUCAUAUUACACACAUAAUCAUGGCUUUGAAAUCACCCCUAACUAAGAGUGGUUUAGCCACUCAUAUUCACAACAAAACGAAAGAAAAUGAAUUUAAACAUUGGAAACAAAAGAAAGAAAACACCUAAACGCUCCAACGAUCCAAGUUGGACAGCAAGCACGUCCAAGCACUUUCCUUCCCUUCCUUUGCUACGGCACAAGGUGUUGGUGAGUGUUUAAAGGUUUGUUUGUAUGGAGGAAUGGAUGUGAAGAUGAAAUGGAUGUGUUUGGAUGAAGGUUGUAUUGAAAUGGGGAUGAAUGAUCAAGCAAAAACUAAACUAUAUGGCUGCCACACACACUUCCUUUUAUAGAGGAAGUGCACGGCAAGGAGGGGAAAAAUGAUGGUGUGUGCAAUGAUUCAAGGGUUAAAAUGAAGUAAUGAUGCAAAGCAUGGGGGGUAAAAUGAAGUGGUGUUGCAGCAAUGAGUGCAUCGAGUGGUGUUUGAAAUGAUUCAAAGGUGAAAGUGAGUGAUGAUUCAAAGCAUGGGGGGUAAAAUGGAGUGGUGUUGCAGCUAUGAAUGCUAGUAGGGAACAUGAAUGAUUGUGCACAUGGUAGAGAAAGGAAAGGGAGGUGGAAUGGUGCAGAAAUGAGUCAAAGGUGCAGCAAGACAAAUGAUGCACGACAUGAGAUUCCAAAUGUGGUGGAUGGUGCAUCAAUGAGUGCAUGUAAUGGAGGUAAAAGUUGUAUGAAAUCUAAUGGGUGAAGGGGACAAGAAUUGUGCAACAAUUGAGUGCAAUGAUUCAAUAUUUUGAUGCAUGAAAUCAGAAAUAAUGAAGGAGACAAGGGUAGUGCACGGCAUGAGUGGAUAAUGAGUGUAAUGGUGUAUGAAAUGAGUGCAAGAAAUCUGGUGCAUGAAGGGGACAAGGGUGAUUAUGCAUGGCAUGGGUGGAAAGUUGAGUAAGUGGUGAAUCAAUGAGUGCAAGGAGGUGAAAGGAUAUUGUGCACAUGGUAGACAAAGGAAAGGAAGUGGAAUGGUGCAGCAAAUGAGUGGAAGGAGGGAACAUUGAUGAAUGUGCACGACAUGGAGAUUUAUGGCAGAAAAUAGGAAAGGAAUGGCUCCCUUGCACGGCAAGGAAGAUAAAUGAUGAAGGAUGGUAUGGCUUGGACUUUUAGGGCAGGUUUAGGACUUGUAGAAUAU
rnacentral:lncRNA from 1 species